rnacentral:rRNA from 1 species
AUACGUAGGGGGCUAGCGUUGUCCGGAUUUAUUGGGCGUAAAGCGCGUGUAGGCGGCCAGAUAGGUCUGGUGUGAAAACUCGAGGCUCAACCUCGAGAUGUCAUCGGAAACCAUCUGGCUAGAGUCCGGAAGUGGAGAGUGGAAUUCCUGGUGUAGCGGUGAAAUGCGCAGAUAUCAGGAAGAACACCUAUGGCGAAGGCAGCUCUCUGGGACGGUACUGACGCUGAGACGCGAAAGCGUGGGGAGCGAACAGG